rnacentral:rRNA from 1 species
GCUCGUAGUUGAACCUUGGGCCUGGCUGGCCGGUCCGCCCCACCGCGUACUGGUCCGGCCGGGCCUUUCCUUCUGGGGAACCUCAUGCCCUUCACUGGGCGUGCUGGGGAACCAGGACUUUUACUUUGAAAAAAUUAGAGUGUUCAAAGCAGGCCUUUGCUCGAAUACAUUAGCAUGGAAUAAUAGAAUAGGACGUGUGGUUCUAUUUUGUUGGUUUCUAGGACCGCCGUAAUGAUUAAUAGGGAUAGUCGGGGGCAUCAGUAUUCAAGCGUCAGAGGUGAAAUUCUUGGAUUGCUUGAAGACUAACUACUGCGAAAGCAUUUGCCAAGGAUGUUUUCAUUAAUCAGUGAACGAAAGUUAGGGGAUCGAAGACGAUCAGAUACCGUCGUAGUCUUAACCAUAAACUAUGCCGACUAGGGAUCGGACGGUGUUAGUAUUUUGACCCGUUCGGCACCUUACGAGAAAUCAAAGUUUUUGGGUUCUGGGGGGAGUAUGGUCGCAAGGCUGAAACUUAAAGAAAUUGACGGAAGGGCACCACCAGGCGUGGAGCCUGCGGCUUAAUUUGACUCAACACGGGGAAACUCACCAGGUCCAGACACAAUAAGGAUUGACAGAUUGAGAGCUCUUUCUUGAUUUUGUGGGUGGUGGUGCAUGGCCGUUCUUAGUUGGUGGAGUGAUUUGUCUGCUUAAUUGCGAUAACGAACGAGACCUUAACCUGCUAAAUAGCCAGGCCCGCUUUGGCGGGUCGCCGGCUUCUUAGAGGGACUAUCGGCUCAAGCCGAUGGAAGUUUGAGGCAAUAACAGGUCUGUGAUGCCCUUAAAUGUUCUGGGCCGCACGCGCGCUACACUGACAGAACCAACGAGUUCAUUUNCUUGUCCGAAANGNCUGGGGUANUCUUUGUUAA